GUGACCUGGCUGAAGUCGGACGCUUAACCGACUGCGCCACCCAGGCGCCCCAAACAUUUUUAAAUAUUUUGAAAAAUACUUUAUUAAAUGUCUCAGGUGUCUUGUCAUGUUUGUUUCAGGGUACUUAUGCCCACUCUGCAGCUAGAAACAGAAGUCACUGGAGACCUUGUUUCCUUUGGAUGGAUCUUUCCUCAUGUGAAGGGUGUGGGCAUGAUUCAGACGGAAGCAGGCAUUUUAUGGCCAUGUAUCUGCCAGGAGCCCAGCAGGAACACAGAAGCCCGUUGAGAGAUUCCAAGGAGGAAGGUCUUGGGGGGAUAGGCAACCGUUGGACAAGGUAGGGCAGUAAGAGUCAGGGAAACUUCUGCUCAAAGGGAGGAUUUGAGGGAGUUGGCCAAGAGGCCGUGGCAACCCUCAUAAGCCUCUGGGAGCUGCCACCAUUGAUUUAGCUGCUGUAGUAUAAAGUGUGUGAUUCCUAGAUGCUUGUGCAGCAGAUGCGGCUAAACUUGUGUCUGUUUUCCCACAAAGCUGUUCUCAACUGCCACUAGAGAAUAACGGCUUCUUCUCUUGCACAUCUCAUGAGGAUGCCCCUCGUUGGCUGCUGACUCUCGCCUGGAACUAUAUGGAGAAAGUGAUUCUAGAAGCUGUGUGUGGUCCCAGGCUUCUCCUUGCUACGCAUAGAAGCCCCAGAAGAAACUUAACAGAUGUGAAGAUAGAAAAUUCUUCACCAGAUGGUCCAUUUCCUGAUGGCCUGCACUUGACGACGUCUUGGAUUAUUUGCACCUUACUGUACUCUAUGAGUCAACGCCCCCCCCCCCUAAAAAAAACCCCGGCUACCAUUAAGGUCCCAUUGUCAUUGGGUAUACAACUCAUAUUCCAGGUGUCAAAAAUCAUUCAACAAAUAUUUCUUAAGCACCUUUUGUGUCAGGCUUACAGUUUCUGUGAUCAUCAUGAUACUUCAAUGCUUCUAACUCUGACAUUAUUAGGUUAGCAAAGUAUUUUAAAAUAUGUCAGUAAAAGCAUGCAUAUUAAUUAAAAUGUUCCCACAUAUAAGCCUUAAACUAACCUCCCUGGGCUGAUUGGAGACAAAAGACUUUUAUUAAAUACUGUUUGAUAGGUUAAGUAUUUUAGUAUCUCUGCCAAUCAUUGUUACAAAUGCAUACUGAAUAAAAAUGAAUAAAAGAAUAUUUAUUGCCAAGCA